rnacentral:rRNA from 1 species
AUUGAACGCUGGCUGCAGGCCUAACACAUGCAAGUCUAACGUUUGGCGGACGUGUGAGUAAUGUCUGUGAAACUGCCCGCUGUAGGGGGAUAACUACUGGAACCGGUCGCUAAUACCGCAUUCCAUCGGAUGUUCCCUCAUGGGAUUAGCUAGUAGGUGGGGUAAAGGCUCACCUAGGAGACGAUCCCUAGCUGGUCUGAGGGGAUGACCAGCCACACUGGAACUGAGACACGGUCCAGACUCCUACGGGAGGCAGCAGUGGGGAAUAUUGCACAAUGGGCGCAAGCCUGAUGCAGCGAUGCAGCGUGUAUGAGGAAGGACUUCGGGUUGUAAAGUACUUUCAGCGGGGAGGCGUUACCCGCAGAAGAAGCACCGGCUAACUCCGUGCCAGCAGCCGCGGUAAUAC